rnacentral:sRNA from 1 species
CGACAAUAAGCAAGCAUUAGUCAAUUCUAAUCAUGUGAGAGGGUAUUUUUUGCAAAGACAAAAAAAGGAAGCAGCACAGCAGGAGCUAUUGGGAGUGCCAGGGUCGGAUGGGAAACCAGGUUGUGAGGAUCAGUAACGUGGCAGGACAGUUGUCUUUGAGAUGGUGACAGCAUGAACCAAGACUUGAGGAAGGAGAGGUGACUGGUCAUUAUCCUAAUCCUAUAGGAAUCAUCUUGGUUCUAAUUUGAUAAUUUACUCUUUGGUAAAUUAAGAAACCCUAUUAGGGACAUAGGGGAAUGCUAAAGAGAUGAUAAAAGCCCUCAACAAUUUUUUUAAGAAUUAAAAGUCUUAGACUUUUCUCUGUGCCCCGUAAGUCAUAGUUUAUGAAAAUAUGCUUAUUUCAAAGCUAAAAUACCAGACUAGUGAGAAAAUUUCAAAUUAUGGAACUCAUUUUUCCAAGACUGCUAUUCAGGGUGAUGUAUGACAAAAGCUGGAAAGUUCUGUCUGUUCUGACUUGUGUCUGUCCUAACUGGCUCCAGGAGUCCGCAUGUGUGAAAGUGGUGGCUGCUGUGAGCAUGUGGGAUGUGUGCAUGGAGAGAGGACACCGGGACCUGGAGCAGUUCGAGAGGGUGCAUCGCUACAUCAGUGACCAGCUCUUCACAAACUUUAAGGAGAGGACAGAGCGGCUUGUCAUCUCCCCCUUAAAUCAGUUACUGAGCAUGUUUACAGGGCCCCAUAAGCUGGUACAGAAACGCUUUGACAAGCUCCUGGACUUCUAUAACUGUACAGAACGGGCAGAGAAGCUAAAGGACAAGAAGACCCUGGAGGAGCUGCAGUCGGCCCGGAACAACUAUGAGGCCCUGAAUGCGCAGCUGCUGGAUGAGCUGCCCAAGUUCC